AGGCNUGAGNNACUGGAAGGUCCUCAGGCCGAAAGGGGCUCUGCCCGCCCGAGGAUGGGCCGGCGGCCGAUUAGGUAGUUGGUGGGGUAACGGCCCACCAAGCCGAAGAUCGGUACGGGCCAUGAGAGUGGGAGCCCGGAGAUGGACACUGAGACACGGGUCCAGGCCCUACGGGGCGCAGCAGGCGCGAAACCUCCGCAAUGCGGGCAACCGCGACGGGGGGACCCCCAGUGCCGUGGCAACGCCACGGCUUUUCCGGAGUGUAAAAAGCUCCGGGAAUAAGGGCUGGGCAAGGCCGGUGGCAGCCGCCGCGGUAAUACCGGCGGCCCGAGUGGUGGCCGCUAUUAUUGGGCCUAAAGCGUCCGUAGCCGGGCCCGUAAGUCCCUGGCGAAAUCCCACGGCUCAACCGUGGGGCUUGCUGGGGAUACUGCGGGCCUUGGGACCGGGAGAGGCCGGGGGUACCCCUGGGGUAGGGGUGAAAUCCUAUAAUCCCAGGGGGACCGCCAGUGGCGAAGGCGCCCGGCUGGAACGGGUCCGACGGUGAGGGACGAAGGCCAGGGGAGCGAACCGGAUUAGAUACCCGGGUAGUCCUGGCUGUAAAGGAUGCGGGCUAGGUGUCGGGCGAGCUUCGAGCUCGCCCGGUGCCGAAGGGA
rnacentral:rRNA from 1 species